rnacentral:rRNA from 1 species
UACGUAGGGGGCUAGCGUUGUCCGGAUUUAUUGGGCGUAAAGAGCGUGUAGGCGGCCAGGUAGGUCUGGUGUGAAAACUCGAGGCUUAACCUCGAGAUGUCAUCGGAAACCAUUUGGCUAGAGUCCGGAAGAGGAGAGUGGAAUUCCUGGUGUAGCGGUGAAAUGCGCAGAUAUCAGGAAGAACACCAGUGGCGAAGGCGGCUCACUGGACCGGCAUUGACGCUGAGGUGCGAAAGCGUGGGGAGCAAACAGG